GACGAACGCUGGCGGCGUGCUUAACACAUGCAAGUCGAACGGAAAGGCCUCUUUCGGGGGGUACUCGAGUGGCGAACGGGUGAGUAACACGUGAGUAACCUGCCCUUGACUUUGGGAUAACUUCAGGAAACUGGGGCUAAUACCGGAUAGGAGCUCCUGCUGCAUGGUGGGGGUUGGAAAGUUUCGGCGGUUGGGGAUGGACUCGCGGCUUAUCAGCUUGUUGGUGGGGUAGUGGCUUACCAAGGCUUUGACGGGUAGCCGGCCUGAGAGGGUGACCGGCCACAUUGGGACUGAGAUACGGCCCAGACUCCUACGGGAGGCAGCAGUGGGGAAUAUUGCACAAUGGGUGGAAGCCUGAUGCAGCAACGCCGUGUGCGGGAUGACGGCCUUCGGGUUGUAAACCGCUUUCGCCUGUGACGAAGCGUGAGUGACGGUAAUGGGUAAAGAAGCACCGGCUAACUACGU
rnacentral:rRNA from 1 species